rnacentral:rRNA from 1 species
GACGAACGCUGGCGGCGUGCUUAACACAUGCAAGUCGAACGGAAAGGCCAUGCUCUUGUGAGGUGCUCGAGUGGCGAACGGGGGAGUAACACGUGAGGAACCUGCACUUGACUUUGGGAUAACUUCAGGAAACAGGGGAGAAUACCGGAGAGGAGCUCCUGAUGCAUGGUGGGGGUUGGAAAGUUUCGGCGGUGGGGGAUGGUCUCGCGGGUUAUCAGCUUGUUGGGGAGGUAGGGGCGGACCAAGGCUUUGAAUGGUAGCCCGCCUGAGAGGGUGAACAGCCUCAUUGGUCCUGCGCUACGCCCCAGUCUCUUACGGGACGCAGCAGUCGGAAAUCUUGCGCAGUGACCGGACGCCUGUUGCAGCCGUCCCCCGUGCGGAAUACUCUCCUUCUCGUUGUAAACCGCUUUCUCCUGUGCUGAAGCCUUCUUGACGGUAACGGGUCAGGAAGCCACGGCUAACUACGUG